CAAUAGCGUAUAUUUAAGUUGUUGCAGUUAAAAAGCUCGUAGUUGGAUUUCGGUUAAGAGCGACCGGUCCGCCGUUUGGUGUGCACUGGUUGGUUUUAACUUCCUGUAGAGGACGUGCUCUGGGUUUAACGACCUGGACUCGGAGUCUACGUGGUUACUUUGAAAAAAUUAGAGUGUUCAAAGCGGGCUUACGCUUGAAUAUUUCAGCAUGGAAUAACACUACAGGACUCCUGUCCUAUUUCGUUGGUCUCGGGACGGGAGUAAUGAUUAAGAGGAACAGUUGGGGGCAUUCGUAUUUCAUUGUCAGAGGUGAAAUUCUUGGAUUUAUGAAAGACGAACUUCUGCGAAAGCAUUUGCCAAGGAUGUUUNCAUUAA
rnacentral:rRNA from 1 species